UACAGAGACUGCAAGCGUUAUUCGGAUUUACUGGGCGUAAAGGGUGCGCAGGCGGCCAAGUGUGUGAGGCGUGAAAGCCUGGGGCUUAACUCCAGAAUUGCACCUCAAACUACAUGGCUAGAGCAUUGGAGAGGGUAGCAGAAUUCACGGUGUAGCAGUGAAAUGCGUAGAUAUCGUGAGGAAUACCAGAGGCGAAGGCGGCUACCUGGACAAUUGCUGACGCUCAGGCACGAAAGCGUGGGGAGCAAAAGGG
rnacentral:rRNA from 1 species